CACCGCCUCAGCCGUGACCACAGGGCAGGACAGAGUUCACCAGCAACGAGCUGCCCCACAGGAAUGGAAGCACAUGUGGUGUCCUCCAGGAUUCUAUCUAUCAGAAUUCAGUGGAGACUGUGCACCAUGCACACGCGGGAUGGAUUUCACCAGUCAUUCGAAUAACCUCUCUUCUUGCCAAGUCUGUUCUAGUUGCCGUCCAGAUGAAGAGGAGAUAAGUUCAUGCACCCCGACCAAAGACAGUGAGUGUCGAUGCAAAUCUGGCACGUUCCUCGAAGAAAAUUCCCCUGAGUUAUGCCAGCGGUGCAGCACUCGGUGUCCUGAUGGCAUGGUUGAAGCUGAGCCCUGUACCUCGUGGAGCGACCUCCAGUGUGUCAAACAAGAAUCAGGCCGUUCACAGCCGGUGCUUGGAAUUGUACUGGGGACUGUGUGUGCCCUGGUGGUGCUGCUGCUGAGUGCAUAUGCAUGUGCAUAUUGUCACAGGAGGCGCAUCCGUCAAGGGCUGACAGUCACUUCAUCUCCCUGGCCACGUCUGGGAGGGCAGGACCCGUUCUUCAGGGCCCCCAGCAGGGCAGAGAGGUGUCAACUGGAUGACAAAAGUCAGGAGGAGAGGGUCAGCUUGUGGAGUGGACCCCGAGUGCAUGAACACAGUGAGUUGCUUUCUCCAGGACCUGGUGGCAUCAGCCCUCAGGAACUGCUUCCUACCCACAGCAAGGCCCUGGGUCAUUUUCCGGCGCUGGUGUCCCCCAAGAGGGCCUGGGGUUCUGGACAAUUUCCGCAACGAGAUCAUCAGCAACAGAAGCUCACUGUCCAUGCAGGCCUGUGAGCAGGAACUGGGACACCAGGAGCCUGCAGAGCUGGAAUGUGUCCUCAUACAGUCCCCGGUGGAAGCCGAGCGUCUGCUGGCCUGAGGCUGUUCUUUGAUUACUUCACAAACAUGGUGCCCUUCACGUCCUGGAACCCGCUCAUGAGGCUGUUGGGCCUCAACGACAAUGAUAUCUACGUCGCCAGAGCUCAGGUCUGGAACCCCAGGGAAGCCUUGUAUGAAAUGCUAGUGACCUGGCUCAGCCACGAGGGGCGGGCUGCCUCAGUCAACACCCUGCUGGACGCCUUGGAAACACUUGGGGAAAGACAUGCAAAGGAGUUGAUUCAGGACCACCUGGUGGGCUCUGGGAAGUAUGUCUAUGAAGAAGGUGGGGCAGGCUCUGCUCUGUCCUGAGUGAAAAGAAUCUCUUUAGGAAACCAGAGCUUUCCUAGUUUACCUUUUCUCCUGGAAGAAGCAGCAUGAUUGGACACCAGGCUGGAAGAUGCUGCGGGUCCUUGAAUAGUACAUGAAGAAACUCUACCAUGGAUUACAUGACUGGCAAAUUCCACAUGGACCAUCCUUUUCCACUUGAUAAUUUCAUAGGUACAUGAAUAUUUAUAAUAUUUAUAGACAAAAGUUUACAAGUGACCAGAGAAGUGGUAUCCACGUGCAGCCCUGUGUCUGGGUGUCCCUGAACUGGAAAGUUGUGGGUGGGCCUCGUUCUCAUCUAUGGUUCUCAUCUAUGGUGGGCGGGGAGGGUGGGGGAUGCGUUAGAUCUAAGGUGCCAAAUACAUUCUAUGUCCUGUGCCAUUCGGGACAUGUUAAUGAACCUUCAGCCUCAUCUGGGCUCAGGGGAGACAGAACAGGGAUCUGGUCUCAGGGAGGAAGCGUGGACGGUGCUCAGGAUUAGUGUUAAAUAUUUGCUAACUCAGUACUAGAUGUGUUGUCGCAUAGCAGCCUGAUCGUCUGUGCCCUUAGCCUUUCCUUAGGAAGGAAGGUUGCAGGGUUGUAUGCCCUAGGGGGUUGAGUUAAUAAGUCUCUUGUCUAGGUCCCAGUAUGCAGGGUCCGCGGUCGAAGACGAGUAAGUUUCCUCUAGGGAGGGACGACUUAAGCCAGAUGGGACCCCGGGGACCCCCAUGAAUAUUGCUAAAGCUUAGAGGAAGCUCUCCUCUCAAAAGUUCCAUCAUCGGUUGCUGACCCUUGGCUCAAGCAGCAGAGACCUUGAUGUGCAAGGAACAAUAGUGGAGCGGAACCUCCUGGCUCCUCGUUUAUCUCAUGGGAAAGCAAU